AACCUCCGCAAUGUGAGAAAUCGCGACGGGGGGAUCCCAAGUGCCAUUCUUAACGGGAUGGCUUUUCAUUAGUGUAAAAAGCUUUUAGAAUAAGAGCUGGGCAAGACCGGUGCCAGCCGCCGCGGUAACACCGGCAGCUCGAGUGGUAGCUGUUUUUAUUGGGCCUAAAGCGUUCGUAGCCGGUUUGAUAAGUCUUUGGUGAAAGCUUGUAGCUUAACUAUAAGAAUUGCUGGAGAUACUAUCAGACUUGAAGUCGGGAGAGGUUAGAGGUACUACCGGGGUAGGGGUGAAAUCCUAUAAUCCUGGGAGGACCACCUGUGGCGAAGGCGUCUAACUGGAACGAUCUUGACGGUGAGUAACGAAAGCCAGGGGCGCGAACCGGAUUAGAUACCCGGGUAGUCCUGGCCGUAAACGAUGUGGACUUGGUGUUGGAAUGGCUUUGAGUUGUUCCGGUGCCGAAGGGAAGCUGUUAAGUCCACCGCCUGGGAAGUACAGUCGCAAGACUGAAACUUAAAGGAAUU
rnacentral:rRNA from 1 species